AGAGUUUGAUCAUGGCUCAGAUUGAACGCUGGCGGCAUGCUUUACACAUGCAAGUCGAACGGCAGCGCGGGGCAACCUGGCGGCGAGUGGCGAACGGGUGAGUAAUAUAUCGGAACGUACCCAAGAGUGGGGGAUAACGUAGCGAAAGUUACGCUAAUACCGCAUACGAUCUAAGGAUGAAAGCAGGGGACCUUCGGGCCUUGUGCUCCUGGAGCGGCCGAUAUCUGAUUAGCUAGUUGGUGAGGUAAAGGCUCACCAAGGCGACGAUCAGUAGCUGGUCUGAGAGGACGACCAGCCACACUGGGACUGAGACACGGCCCAGACUCCUACGGGAGGCAGCAGUGGGGAAUUUUGGACAAUGGGCGCAAGCCUGAUCCAGCAAUGCCGCGUGAGUGAAGAAGGCCUUCGGGUUGUAAAGCUCUUUUGUCAGGGAAGAAACGGUUGAGGCUAAUAUCCUCGGCUAAUGACGGUACCUGAAGAAUAAGCACCGGCUAACUACGUGCCAGCAGCCGCGGUAAUACGUAGGGUGCAAGCGUUAAUCGGAAUUACUGGGCGUAAAGCGUGCGCAGGCGGUUUUGUAAGUCUGUCGUGAAAGCCCCGGGCUCAACCUGGGAAUUGCGAUGGAGACUGCAAGGCUUGAAUCUGGCAGAGGGGGGUAGAAUUCCACGUAGCAGUGAAAUGCGUAGAGAUGUGGAGGAACACCGAUGGCGAAGGCAGCCCCCUGGGUCAAGAUUGACGCUCAUGCACGAAAGCGUGGGGAGCAAACAGGAUUAGAUACCCNNGUAGUCC
rnacentral:rRNA from 1 species